rnacentral:rRNA from 1 species
AGUGAACGCUGGCGGUAGGCCUAACACAUGCAAGUCGAACGGCAGCACAGUAAGAGCUUGCUCUUACGGGUGGCGAGUGGCGGACGGGUGAGGAAUACAUCGGAAUCUACUUUUUCGUGGGGGAUAACGUAGGGAAACUUACGCUAAUACCGCAUACGACCUACGGGUGAAAGCAGGGGAUCUUCGGACCUUGCGCGAUUGAAUGAGCCGAUGUCGGAUUAGCUAGUUGGCGGGGUAAAGGCCCACCAAGGCGACGAUCCGUAGCUGGUCUGAGAGGAUGAUCAGCCACACGGGAACUGAGACACGGUCCACACUCCUACGGGAGGCAGCAGCGGGGAAUAUUGGACAAUGGGCGCAAGCCUGAUCCAGCGAUACCGGGUGAGUGAAGAAGGCCUUCGGGUUGGAAAGCCCUUUUGUUGGGAAAGAAAAGCAGCAGGUUAAUACCCCGCUGUUCUGACGGUACCCAAAGAAUAAGCACCGGCUAACUUCGUG